CAUUAUAGAUCAAUAUAUAUAAUUGCAAAUUUAUAAUUUAAUAUUGCUAGUCAAAUGCCUAAUGUCAUAAUGUCUAAGAAUGUAUAUUAUAUAUAUUGAUGUAUAUGAUAAUGUUAAAAAUUAAAAAUAAAUUGCCAUCAGUAUUAAAUAAUUAAAUAAAAAUGGAGGAGAGAGCAAUGCUAUGGAUGCUUUCUCUUGUUAUGUUUGUUGGAUCUUGUCUUGGAGCUGGAUCACUGCCAUUAAGUUAAAUAAAUUUAUCAGAAGAAGUAAGAUAUAGAAGUGAAGAAGAAUAUUUUAUGUAAUAUAAAAUUAUGACAAGUUACAAUUAGUUUCAAUAUUAGGAGCAGGACUCCUUGUUGGUACUGCGCUAGCGAUUAUACCUGACUGUAACCUGAGGGUGUAAGAGCAUUAUUAUUUACUGUGGAUGGUAUUACUAAUGAAAAAGGCAAUUUACAUACUUUAACUUGGAAUUAGUUUAGUACUUGGUUUAUGCUUUUAAUUGAUCAAUGUUCAGCCAGAAAAAGUGGAGGAAGACAAGAAAAGUAUUACAGCAACUUUAGGUCUUAUAGUAGAUGCUGCUAGUUGAUUGGCGGUGUUGCAUUGGGAGCUGCUGCUACUACAUCUCAAGCUGAUGUCGAAGUGUCUUAGUUUUUCUUCGCAAUAAUGUUACACAAGGCGCCAGAUGCAUUUGGACUUGUGUCAAUUUCUUCUUCAUGAAGGUGUAGAUAGAAAGUAAGAAAAUAAGCAGACACUUAUUAAUUUUCUCUCUUGCGGCACCGUGUCUUGCACUUGUGACAUAUUUUGGAAUUGGAAAAGUAAUGUGAGUGAGUAAUGACAUUCAGGACUGCCGCGCAAGACUGCACGCGCCAAUCAGGCGCGAGAACGGACGCGGACGCGCGAAGACUCCCAAUCAGGAGCGAGGACUGCCGUGCGUGCGCGAAGACGUCCAAUCAGGCGCGAGAACUGCCGCGCACGCCGCCAAGACUCCCAAUCAGGAGCGAGGACUGCCGUGCGUGCGCGAAGACUGCCAAUCAGGAGCGAGGACUGCCGCGCACGCCGCCAAGACUCCCAAUCAGGCGCGAGGACUGCCGAACAUGCGCGAAAUUGCAAAUUUAAAGGACAAGUUACAAUUAGUUUCAAUAUUAGGAGCAGGACUCCUUGUUGGUACUGCGCUAGCGAUUAUACCUGACUGUAACCUGAGGGUGUAAGAGCAUUAUUAUUUACUGUGGAUGGUAUUACUAAUGAAAAAGGCAAUUUACAUACUUUAACUUGGAAUUAGUUUAGUACUUGGUUUAUGCUUUUAAUUGAUCAAUGUUCAGCCAGAAAAAGUGGAGGAAGACAAGAAAAGUAUUACAGCAACUUUAGGUCUUAUAGUAAG